rnacentral:hammerhead_ribozyme from 1 species
AUCCGGCUUACAAGUCUCAAAUAGGACGAAACGCGCGUCAAACUGGAU